CAUGAUAAAGUAUAUUACAUUAGCUUAAUUUAAGAUAUAUAUAAAAGUGUCUGACUUUCCGGAACAUUUUCAAAAGUAAAGUUGAAAAAAUUAAUUUUUUGUGAAAAAGUUGUCAUUUUAAAUCCCCCUCUGUGGGCAGGUAAAAAGUCAGAUUUAUAAAAAAAAUAUACCAAAUGAUAGGUAAAGACAUCAUGCAUCUACAAAAAAAAGAAUUAUAUUGAUCCAUACAUCUUUCAAAAAGUUAUAGCAUUAUAAAGUUAAAAAUAUAAAAAAGAAUUUUUUUACAAAAAUCGUAUUUUUUUUAUUAAGUUUAAUGUCUGUUUUCACCAUGAAGAUAAAAUAAAGUCCGAAAUUUUUUUUUACCAUAAUAAAGUAUAUUACAUUAGCUUUAAUUUAAGAUAUAUAUAAAAGUGUCAGACCUUCUGGAACACUUUCAAAAGUUAAGUUGAAAAAAUUAAUUUUUUGUAAAAAAGUUGUCAUUUUAAAUCCCCCCCUGUGGGCAGGUAAAAAGUCAGAUUUAUAAAAAAAAUAUACCAAAUGAUAGGUAAUGACAUCAUGCAUCUAUAAAAAAAAGAAUUAUAUUGAUAUGUUCAUUUUUGAAAAAGUUAUGGCACUUUUAAGUAAAAAAAAUUGAAAAAUUUUCGAAAAUUAGCGAUUUUUAAAUUUGUAAUUUUUUUGGAGGUUUCCUCCAUUUACGGGGAACGAGGGAAUUUUUUUCAAUUUUUGAGGGUAAUGUCUUCGACUAGAUACGAUUUGUGAUCGUUUGACGUAUCAUUAAAAGAAAUCGGUUCGGUGAGAGCUGAGAAAAAGUGGUAACAGACACAAAAAAAAAAAAAAAACACAUCUUAGUAAAACCAAUACCUU